AGAGUUUGAUCCUGGCUCAGAUUGAACGCUGGCGGCGUGCUUAACACAUGCAAGUCGUGCGAGAAAGGGGACUUCGGUCCCUGAGUAGAGCGGCGCACGGGUGAGUAACGCGUGGAUAAUCUCCCCAGAAGUUCGGGAUAACGGCGGGAAACUGCCGCUAAUACCGGAUACGCUCCAAUUUCGGUUGGGGGAAAGGCGGCCUCUGUUUACAAGCUGUCGCUUCUGGAUGAGUCCGCGUCCCAUUAGCUUGUUGGUGGGGUAAUGGCCUACCAAGGCUACGAUGGGUAGCUGGUCUGAGAGGAUGAUCAGCCACACUGGAACUGAAACACGGUCCAGACUCCUACGGGAGGCAGCAGUGGGGAAUAUUGCGCAAUGGGGGAAACCCUGACGCAGCGACGCCGUGUGAGGGAUGAAGGCUUUCGGGUCGUAAA
rnacentral:rRNA from 1 species